UUAAGUUUACUUCACUAGUAAAAAUCAGUAUUUGACUAACUGAAUUAUAUUUUUAACAUGCACUUAAUAUUUUUUGAUACAUUUCAAUCAAAAUAUCUGUUAAUGGAGUAAUUGUACUGAUUAGUUUCAAGAACUACAAUUAUAAAUUAUUCCAACUCAAUAUUCUUUAUUUUUAACAACAAAAACUUAAAUAAUUGAGUAAAUUGCCAGUUGCAAGUGCUCAUGGGAAGUCUGGUGUAACAUCAGAGACAAGAAGGCUGUGAGGAUGUGAGAAUGGACAUGAAGCACCUGGAACAUUCUGGAACACUCCUUACAAAUCCUGCACCAACACCACUAAUGAAGAGAAGUUGAAUGGAGAUAAAACAGAAGGUGCCAGCAUUAUGGGAUGGCGGUGUAAGCUCUGCACAUUUGUCGUAUCAUCAAAAGGAAUUUCGAUCAUUACCGAGUGAAGCAUGGUACUGUUAGUCAUGGAUAUUUUGUGUCCUGUCUUCAUUUAGACUGUCAUUGCUUCUUUAAGACCUGAGAAGGUCUGCACACACAUUUGUAUGGAUCCCACAGUUUGCAGGAAACUGAAGUGAAGGUGUGCAAUCUUUCAGAUGUAAAAUGUGACUCAUUAGAUUCUAAUACAAAAGUCUACUUUCCAUGUGUUAACUGUAUAAUACUUGU